rnacentral:rRNA from 1 species
UACGUAGGGGGCAAGCGUUGUCCGGAAUUAUUGGGCGUAAAGCGCGUGUAGGCGGCCAGAUAAGUCCGCUGUGAAAUCUCGAGGCUCAACUUCGAGCUGUCGGUGGAAACUGUCUGGCUAGAGUCCGGAAGAGGAGAAUGGAAUUCCUGGUGUAGCGGUGAAGUGCGCAGAUAUCAGGAAGAACACCCGUGGCGAAGGCGGUUCUCUGGGACGGUACUGACGCUGAGACGCGAAAGCGUGGGGAGCGAACAGG